AUUUUUAAAACGCGUCUGCUAGGGAGAGGUUUUCCACUCUUAUAAAGAAUGCCUCAUUUCUCUCUCCAACCGACGUGGGAUCCUAUAGUUUAGGUCUCUCCUUGUAAGGAUGGGUUAGGUGAUUGUGGUUGACCCUCUGGAAGCCAAACUUACGGCAGCGAAAAGAAAUGGAAAAGAUCAAAGCAAAAGAUGAGUUCAAGAGAAGACAUCAAAUGGAAGCGAUUAAUGAAGCAUGGGCAAUGAUCGACCUCACAAAGACAUUCUAGCCAAGUUGUGUGGACAGUGGAGGCUGAAGCAGCAGCAGAUUCAGGUGGUUCUCUUUUGGAAGAAUUUAUUGGCUAUGCAAUCAUAUAUCUUACUAUAAUUUGUUUCAACUUUUUAUAAGCUUUAUUAAUACACUUAAAUGAUUCAUUGUUCCAGCUUUAUACUCCA